CGCCUCUUGAAUCUCAUAAGAGGUCCAGCCUGCCCAGUGACACAAUUAAACGGCCGCGGUACCCUGACCGUGCGAAGGUAGCAUAAUCACUUGUUCUCUAAAUAAGGACUUGUAUCAACGGCAUCACGAGGGUUAUACUGUCUCCUCUUUUUAAUCAGUGAAACUGACUUUCCCGUGAAGAGGCGGGAAUAAAAAUACAAGACGAGAAGACCCCAUGGAGCUUUAAACCCAAUAGUAACCUCUAUUUACUACUACUACUUAAUUAAGAAGGUCUGUCUACUGGUUUUAGGUUGGGGUGACCCUGGAGUAAAACUUAGCCUCCGUGACGAAUAGAACUUAUUCUAAUCCCAGAGCUACCGCUCUACGAAUCAAAAUUUUGACGUAAACUGAUCCGCCUAGCGAUCAACGAACCAAGUUACCCUGGGGAUAACAGCGCAAUCCAUUUCAAGAGCCCCUAUCGACAAAUGGGUUUACGACCUCGAUGUUGGAUCAGGGUAUCCCAGUGGUGCAGCCGCUACUAAAGGUUUGUUUGUUCAACAAUUAAAACCCU
rnacentral:rRNA from 1 species